UUCAAAGGGCAUACAGUCAAGUUUGCAAAGUUUAUCUGAGGUUUAUCUGAGGUGCAGUUAUUACUAAUAGAAAACUUUUCCCAAUACCCUGCCAUGAUGACUUGAAAUAUAGUUAGCACUGGCAAUUUCUGACAAUCUCUACAGAGA
ensembl:snRNA U4 U4 spliceosomal RNA